rnacentral:rRNA from 1 species
UAUGCCUAGCCAUAAACAUUGAUAGAAUUUUACACCCUCUAUCCGCCUGGGUACUACGAGCAUUAGCUUGAAACCCAAAGGACUUGGCGGUACUUUAGAUCCCCCUAGAGGAGCCUGUUCUAUAACCGAUGACCCCCGUUCAACCUCACCCUCCCUUGUUUUUCCCGCCUAUAUACCGCCGUCGUCAGCUUACCCUGUGAAGGUCUAAUAGUAAGCAAAAUUGGCACCGCCCAGAACGUCAGGUCGAGGUGUAGCGCAUGAGAGGGGAAGAAAUGGGCUACAUUCGCUAACGUAGCGAAUACGAACGAUGUACUGAAAAUAUACAUCUGAAGGAGGAUUUAGCAGUAAGUGGAAAAUAGAGUGUCCCACUGAAACCGGCUCUGAAGUGCGUACACACCGCCCGUCACUCUCCCCAAGCUCACUAUUCAACGUAACUAAAACACUUUAACCGCGAAGGGGAGGCAAGUCGUAACAUGGUAAGUGUACUGGAA